rnacentral:sRNA from 1 species
GCGGACAUGGUGGCCGAGACCGGCGGGGUGGGGGACGUGUCGCGCGGCCGGGUGGCCUCGGUCGGUACCCUGGGCGCGGAGCAGCUGCCUCAUUAGUAUUCGUACCCACGAGGCGGCGCAGCGGGCCCUCGGGGAGAGCGAGCGUCGCGGCCAUGGCUUAUCACUCGGGCUACGGAGCCCACGGCUCCAAGCACAGGGCCCGGGCAGCCCCGGAUCCCCCUCCCCUCUUCGAUGACACAAGCGGUGGUUAUUCCAGCCAGCCCGGGGGAUACCCAGCCUCAGGAGCAGACGUGGCCUUCAGUGUCAGCCACUUGCUUGGGGACCCAAUGGCCAAUGUGGCUAUGGCCUAUGGCAGCUCCAUCGCAUCCCAUGGGAAGGACAUGGUGCACAAGGAGAACUGGGAAGUGCAGUACAGUCGUGAUGUUCCUCUGCCCCCCCGGCAAGACCUUAACGCCCCUGACCUCUAUAUCCCCAGUGAGUCUCCAACCUGGGCUGGGGAACGUGGUGGGGUGGGGUCGGGGGGGGCGCGGACCUGUGCCUUGAGGGAUGAAUGGGAAGAGAGGCUCAGCUACUGAGUCAGCAUUUGUUCUUGGUGCUUUGUGUAUGUGUGGCAGUUGCAAGACACCAGGCAGGCAGUGCAGGGUGACCAGUAAGGAGCUUCCUGAAUGUGCCUUCAGUGUCCCCAGGACACCCUUUUGAGACCUUCCUGUCUCUUGAUUUGGACUAUAUCCCUUCCCAGCCUGGAGCUCUGGGUUUAGACCUGGCUUUGCAGAUUCCAGCUGUGGGACUUCAGGCUGGUGAUUUGUACUUUUCAGUAAAACAGGACUAAUGUAGUCCCUACCCCAAAGGACUGUUGGAGAGAUUCA